CUUAUAUGAUGAGCGUAUUAUUUCAGUUCUGCUACCGAACUCCAUUGACGAUACUUUAUACCGCUUACCUUGUCUGAUUU
rnacentral:snoRNA from 1 species